rnacentral:lncRNA from 1 species
ACACACUGGGGAUUUGACCUCUAUCUCCACUCUCAUUAAUAUGGGUGGCCUAUUUGCUCUUAUUAAAAGGAAAGGGGGAGAUGUUGGGAGCCACGCCCACAUUCGCCGUUACAAGAUGGCGCUGACAGCUGUGUUCUAAGUGGUAAACAAAUAAUCUGCGCAUGUGCCGAGGGUGGUUCUUCACUCCAUGUGCUCUGCCUUCCCCGUGACGUCAACUCGGCCGAUGGGCUGCAGCCAAUCAGGGAGUGACACGUCCGAGGCGAAGGAUAAUUCUCCUAAAAAAGGGACGGGGUUUCGUUUUCUCUCUCUCUUGCUUCUUACGCUCUUGCUUCUUGCACUCUGGCUCCUGAAGAUGUAAGCAAUAAAGCUUUGCCGCAGAAGAUUCUGGUCUGUGGUGUUCUUCCUGGCCGGUCGUGAGAACGCGUCUAAUAACAGCCCAACAACUCCAUUGUUCUUGACUUCUUCGGGCUCUAGCCAGACUCUCCAAAGACAGGGUUGCAUUCCCUUUCCAGUAUGGUCCAUGGAAAACAUGCAGAGGAAAUGGCCCCACAGCAUUGGCUGAGUGUUUAUGUCUUCCAACCGAGUCUCCAUUGAACUGUUGUGGUGUUGCUGACUUGCCCUAGGUCACCUGAGUUAAAUGAGAUGCAUUCCUUUUCCUUCAUGGGCCAUGAGUGACAUCCAGAGAAAGUGUCACCACAACACUGGACAAAAGUUGAUGAUAUCUGAAUGAGCUACCAGUAAACCCCCCCCUUUUUUUGCUGUUAUUGCCUUGCCUGAGGAAAAGCGAGUUAAAAGAUGAUACCUACAGUGAUGAGUUGGAGUUAUAGAUGGUGCCAUUUCUUCUACCAGCAGCUUCACCAAAACAAUCUCCAUUAUACAUGCUGAUGCCUCUUUCCUGUGUAGCAGCAGACACCACCUGCAGAUAAGAAAUGCUUAAGCAUAAGAAAUUCAUCAUACUCAUACCAAUCUACACAAGAGUGAGAUCAUGG